CGGGUUAAGGCACCCGAUGCCAACGCUCAUCAGAUCCCAGAAAAGGUGUUGGUUGAUAUAGACAGCAGGACGGUGGCCAUGGAAGUUGGAAUCUGCUAAGGAGUGUGUAACAACUCACCUGCCGAAUCAACUAGCCCUGAAAAUGGAUGGCACUGGAGUGUCGGGCCCAUACCCAGCUUCUUGUAGGGAAACAUUGCAGGAUAGGG